rnacentral:rRNA from 1 species
UGGGGAAUAUUGCACAAUGGGCGCAAGCCUGAUGCAGCCAUGCCGCGUGUAUGAAGAAGGCCUUCGGGUUGUAAAGUACUUUCAGCGGGGAGGAAGGGAGUAAAGUUAAUACCUUUGCUCAUUGACGUUACCCGCAGAAGAAGCACCGGCUAACUCCGUGCCAGCAGCCGCGGUAAUACGGAGGGUGCAAGCGUUAAUCGGAAUUACUGGGCGUAAAGCGCACGCAGGCGGUUUGUUAAGUCAGAUGUGAAAUCCCCGGGCUCAACCUGGGAACUGCAUCUGAUACUGGCAAGCUUGAGUCUCGUAGAGGGGGGUAGAAUUCCAGGUGUAGCGGUGAAAUGCGUAGAGAUCUGGAGGAAUACCGGUGGCGAAGGCGGCCCCCUGGACGAAGACUGACGCUCAGGUGCGAAAGCGUGGGGAGCAAAUAGG